GGAUGUAGGACUGCAGUUGCUAGUGGCUGUUUUGGGAGGAGCCUAUUUAAAAAUGAAGCCAGCACAGUCCUGGGAGAGCAUGAGACUCUGGAGGGCAGGCAGGGGCCUCCCAACCACCUCUCUCUCUGCUGCCUUCUCUAUCAGGCUGGAGGCUCCAGGGCAGGGCUGGGCUUUCCCCGUCUUGCCCUCUGUUGUUUCGUUGGGGCCCAGAACACUGUACAGCACAAAUCAGGGUCAAAAACACUGGCUGGCGGAAAGAAGGUAAGGAGGAGCAGGAAAGGAGGGGCAUGGGGGAGAAAUAAAGGGGCCCCCGGCAUGGCACGGGGGUGAGGGGACAGGAUGCAGGGGAGAAGCUUGCUGACUCAUAGGUGAGGAGAGGUGAGGGAAGCAGGAAGACUCAAGCACUGGAAGUGCUCCUGCCGUGACCUGUGAUAUUUGGCUUAAUCAGGAAUAAAUUACUCCACGCGCCCCAGCUAAAUCUGAGAGCUCUUCAGAGUUUGCUCUUGAAAGAGCUUUCUGGGGUGGAACAUUUCUCAGGAGGCCGGUUCUAGGCCGAGCCACAAACAACCCACUUCCACAGGUCAGAGAGAACCCCAGCCCCUUGGUCUGGAAGAGAGGUCUGGCCCCAGCCUGCAUUUGGGAUGUCUGCUGUAUGACCUUGGACGGUUCACUCGGACUCGCUGACCUCCGG
rnacentral:lncRNA from 1 species